rnacentral:rRNA from 1 species
CCUACGGGAGGCAGCAGUGGGGAAUAUUGCACAAUGGGGGGAACCCUGAUGCAGCGACGCCGCGUGAGUGAAGAAGUAUUUCGGUAUGUAAAGCCCUAUCAGCAGGGGAGAAAAUGACGGUACCUGACUCAGAAGCCCCGGCUAACUACGUGCCAGCAGCCGCGGUAAUACGUAGGGGGCCAGCGGUAUCCGGAUUUACUGGGUGUAAAGGGAGCGUAGACGGCAGAGCAAGUCUGAAGGGAAAGCCCGGGGCCCAACUGCGGGAAUGCUGUUGAAACUGCCCGGCUAGAGUGCUGGAGAGGUAAGCGGAAUUCCUAGUGUAGCGGUGAAAUGCGUAGAUAUUAGGAGGAACACCAGUGGCGAAGGCGGCUUACUGGACAGUAACUGACGUUGAGGCUCGAAAGCGUGGGGAGCAAACAGGAUUAGAUACCCCUGUAGUC